rnacentral:rRNA from 1 species
UGGGGAAUAUUGGACAAUGGGCGGAAGCCUGAUCCAGCAACGCCGCGUGAGGGAUGACGGCCUUCGGGUUGUAAACCUCUUUCGCCUGUGACGAAGCGAGAGUGACGGUAGCAGGUAAAGAAGCACCGGCCAACUACGUGCCAGCAGCCGCGGUAAUACGUAGGGUGCGAGCGUUAUCCGGAAUUAUUGGGCGUAAAGGGCUCGUAGGCGGUUUGUCGCGUCGGGAGUGAAAACAUCGGGCUUAACUCGGUGCUUGCUUUCGAUACGGGCAGACUUGAGGCAUGCAGGGGAGAACGGAAUUCCUGGUGUAGCGGUGAAAUGCGCAGAUAUCAGGAGGAACACCGGUGGCGAAGGCGGUUCUCUGGGCAUGUUCUGACGCUGAGGAGCGAAAGUGUGGGGAGCGAACAGG